GGUUCGCGUAGCAGCAUGGCAUGCAUGAGUUUGUCCUCUCCUUAAACCACACGCUGGAGACACCAGGACACUUGGCACCACACUGACGUGACCCAAAAUUCGACCCUGCGGGACGCCAGUGACGGUCUGACAUGAAAGAUGAGGCGCAGAGGAGGACAUCAUCAACAGGCGGCGGGGAAACAAAGCUCCAGCUAAUCGCUGCUUCCUACAAAACUACAUCUGUAAAGUUACUUUUAACCCGAGAAACAAGCAAGACCAAAUAGCGAAACAGAGUAAAGACUCUUACACAGUC
ensembl:lncRNA